UUCAAAAUGUGGAAUCAGGCAGCAGAUGCAGGAUGGAAGUCCUUUCUUGGAGGGCAGAGCUGUGAGGCAAAUUCAGGACAGCUUUACCAAGGUCAAGAAUGGAGAGCAUCCAUGCCUUGAAGGACCCCUGUGAAACUGAGC
rnacentral:lncRNA from 11 species